rnacentral:SRP_RNA from 1 species
GCUGGGCGUGGUGGCGCAUGCCUGUCAUCCCAGCUACUCGGGAGGCUGAGGCAGGAGAAUUGCUUGAACCAGGGAGCUGGAGGUUGCAGUGAGCCAAGAUAGUGCCACUGCACUCCAGCCUGGUGGCAGAGCGAGACUCUGUCUCAA